GCAAGUCGAAUGGGUUCAGACCCAUGGCAGACGAGGUAGGAACACGUGGGUACAUACCGUAGAGUCGGGGAUAAUCUGUCGAAAGGCAGGAUAAUACUCGAUGGUCCCUUCGGGGUAAAGAUUUAUCGCUCUAUGAAUGGCCCGCGGUCUAGCAGCUUGUUGGUACGGUAACGGAGGACCAAGGAUACGACGGAUAGGGGAGGUGAGAGCCUGAGC
rnacentral:rRNA from 1 species